rnacentral:rRNA from 1 species
CCCUUAGAUGUUCUGGGCCGCACGCGCGCUACACUGAUUCAUGCAACAAGUUUUGUCCUUGGCUGAUAGGCCUGGGUAAUCUUUGAACGUGAAUCGUGAUGGGGAUAGAUGAUUGCAAUUAUUCAUCUUCAACGAGGAAUUCCUAGUAAACGCAAGUCAUCAGCUUGCAUUGAUUACGUCCCUGCCCUUUGUACACACCGCCCGUCGCACCUACCGAUUGAAUGGUCCGGUGAAAUCUUCGGAUCUGAGAGAUGUCUGAUUAAUUUCGGACGCCUUUUGGAAAAGUUGCUUAAACCUUAUCAUUUAGAGGAAGGAGAAGUCGUAACA